rnacentral:rRNA from 1 species
GGUGCCAGCAGCCGCGGUAAUUCCAGCUCAAUAGCGUAUAUUAAAGUUGUUGCAGUUAAAAGCUCGUAGUUGAAUUUCGGGGUCAGUAGAUUGGUCGUGCCACUGGUAUGCACUGGUCUUACUGGCUCCUCCUUCCUGAUGAACCGUAAUGCCAUUAAUUUGGUGUUGCGGGGAGACUGGACUGUUACUUUGAAAAAAUUAGAGUGUUUAAAGCAAGCUAACGCUUGAAUACAUUAGCAUGGAAUAAUGAAAUAGGACGUUCGAUCCUAUUUUAGUUGGUUUCUAAGAUUGACGUAAUGAUUAAUAGGGAUAGUUGGGGGCAUUAGUAUUCAAUUGUCAGAGGUGAAAUUCUUGGAUUUAUUGAAGACUAACUACUGCGAAAGCAUUUGCCAAGGAUGUUUUUAUUAAUCAAGAACGAAAGUUAGGGGGAUCGAAGACGAUCAGAUACCGUCGUAGUCUUAACCAUAAACUAUGCCGACUAGGGAUCGGAUGAUGUUAAUUUUUUUAAUGACUCAUUCGGCGCCUUACG